rnacentral:rRNA from 1 species
AACGAACGCUGGCGGCAUGCCUAACACAUGCAAGUCGAACGAGACCUUCGGGUCUAGUGGCGCACGGGUGCGUAACGCGUGGGAACCUGCCCUUAGGUUCGGAAUAACUCCCCGAAAGGGGUGCUAAUACCGGAUAAUGUCUUCGGACCAAAGAUUUAUCGCCUUUGGAUGGGCCCGCGUUGGAUUAGCUAGUUGGUAGGGUAAAAGCCUACCAAGGCGACGAUCCAUAGCUGGUCUGAGAGGAUGAUCAGCCACACUGGGACUGAGACACGGCCCAGACUCCUACGAGAGGCAGCAGUGGGGAAUAUUGGACAAUGGGCGAAAGCCUGAUCCAGCAAUGCUGCGUGAGUGAUGAAGGCCUUAGGGUUGUAAAGCUCUUUUACCCGGGAUGAUAAUGACAGUACCGGGAGAAUAAGCUCCGGCUAACUCCGUG